GACGGUUGGCAAGUGGUAGCAAUACGACUUGUCGAUAGUGGCGAAAGGGUGCGUAACACGUGGGCAAUUUACCGCGAAGACUGGAAUAACCUGCCGAAAGGUAGGCUAAUACCGGAUGUGGUCCUCCAGGGGAAUCCUUGGUGGACUAAAGAUCUUCGGACCUGCCGCUUCAUGAUAAGCCCGCGGCCUAUCAGCUUGUUGGUGAGGUAAAAGCUCACCAAGGCUAAGACGGGUAACUGGUCUGAGAGGACGGUCGGUCACACUGGAACUGAGACACGGUCCAGACACCUACGGGUGGCAGCAGUCGAGAAUCAUUCACAAUGGGCGAAAGCCUGAUGGUGCGACGCCGCGUGGGGGAUGAAGUGCUUCGGUAUGUAAACCCCUGUCAUCUGCGAGCAAACCUUUUCGGUUAACACCUGGAAAGCUGAUAGUAGCAGAAGAGGAAGGGACGGCUAACUCUGUGCCAGCAGCCGCGGUAAUACAGAGGUCCCAAGCGUUGUUCGGAUUCACUGGGCGUAAAGGGUGCGUAGGCGGCAUGGCAAGUUUGGUGUGAAAGCUCCGAGCUCAACUCGGAAAUUGCACUGAAAACUGCCAAGCUCGAGGAUCGGAGGGGAGAGUGGAAUUCUUGGUGUAGCAGUGAAAUGCGUAGAUAUCAAGAGGAACACCGGUGGCGAAGGCGACUCUCUGGACGAUUCCUGACGCUGAGGCACGAAGGCUAGGGGAGCAAACAGGAUUAGAUACCCUGGUAGUCCUAGCAGUAAACGGUGUGCACUUGCUGUAGGAGGAUUCGACCCCUUCUGUGGCGGAGCUAACGUGUUAAGUGCACCGCCUGGGGAGUACGGUCGCAAGAUUAAAACUCAAAGAAAUUGACGGGGGCCUGCACAAGCGGUGGAGUAUGUGGCUUAAUUCGAUGCAACGCGAAGAACCUUACCUGGGUUUGACAUGUGUCUCUAAGUCUGUGAAACCGGCGAGUCCGCAAGGACAAUUUGCACAGGUGCUGCAUGGCUGUCGUCAGCUCGUGUCGUGAGAUGUUGGGUUAAGUCCCGCAACGAGCGCAACCCUUGUGUCCUGUUGCCACCCGAACUUCGGUUCGAAUGGACAGACUGCCCCGUUUAAACGGGGAGGAAGGUGGGGAUGACGUCAAGUCAGUAUGGCCCUUACGGCCAGGGCUGCACACGUACUACAAUGCCCGGCACAAAGGGAAGCAAUACCGUGAGGUGGAGCGAAUCCCAUAAAACCGGGCCCAGUUCGGAUUGUAGUCUGCAACUCGACUACAUGAAGCCGGAAUCGCUAGUAAUGGCGCAUCAGCUACGGCGCCGUGAAUACGUUCCCAGGCCUUGUACACACCGCCCGUCACAUCAUGAAAGCCGGUUGUACCCGAAGUCGCCGAGCCAACCA
rnacentral:rRNA from 1 species